UCAUCCGAUCCACCUAUCCAUACAUAUACCCCCAACCAACAUCAUCACACUCAAAUAGUGGGAAACCACGUAGGUAUUAGAACACUUCCAACAGAAUAGGGGUAUCGGUGUCCCAAGAACUAAGGGUGUGUUCCACGGUCGAAAUCGGAGAGACCUGUAACACCGAACCACAUGAAACCAGAACAUUUAAAAAAAAUCCAUACACAUAAUGACAAAGUAACCACAAAACGUAUGAAUACGAAUCACCUAACCACUGCAAUGACAUGCAUUAAACGUCAAUACUGAAAACUAAACACGGACAUAAAACAAAGUUUCAUUCACAUGCAACUUAACAAUUCAACCAACUUAAACGACAAUACACCAAACCCAGAUCUCUUCCGGAACGCACCCAUUGCUUUCCCAUGGAAUUUCUCUCCACUGAGUUAUGGAGAGUUUCCAUGGAGACCAACAAUGAGGCAAGUGACAGCUACAACACAAAAUAAACAACAUCCAACGAGUCAACAAGUUUUGGGUAAGUAUGAGAUUUAUUUGUUUCUUAUUUAACUAUUCUUUUUUUUAUUUUACCACCUUAGGAUUGAGGAUGCGGUUAAUGGAAGGCAUCCACAACAAAAUUUGCUGUUUAUUGAGAUAUACUCUCAAUAAAAAGCAAAAAACAAGGAUUCUGGAUGCCUGGGAAGUGGAAUGGGACUCGGAUGUAGGCGAGGAACUGGAGGUACAAGGGAUGCUGAGAUGGAUUAAGGGAGUUUUUUGAUAAUUGUGGGGAAAAACCCACGAUUUAGGCCGGGCAAACUUUUGUACUACCAUUAAGUAGAGGAUUUUGUUGAAACCCCCAUCUGCUGGAGCGUCUGGUGUACCAAAGUUAAGGAUGCUGGGAGGUACACUUCUAGAUAUGUGGAUCGGAGGUGCUCGUCAGAGAUUUGCGAGAAAAGCCGAGCUAGUACCUAUGUCUUCUAUUAAGCCUAAAGUGUAUACAAAAAAACUAUCUACCUAUAUUUAAUUGGGAGUACCUACUAAUUUAAAUGUAUUU